UACGAAGGGGGCUAGCGUUGUUCGGAAUUACUGGGCGUAAAGCGUGCGCAGGCGGCUUCUCAAGUCAGGGGUGAAAGCCCAGAGCUCAACUCUGGAAUUGCCUUUGAGACUGAGUGGCUUGAGUACGAGAGAGGUGAGUGGAAUUCCCAGUGUAGAGGUGAAAUUCGUAGAUAUUGGGAAGAACAUCGGUGGCGAAGGCGGCUCACUGGCUCGUAACUGACGCUCAUGCACGACAGCGUGGGGAUCAAACAGG
rnacentral:rRNA from 1 species